UCAAAUUUUAUGUGCAUUUUAAAGUGCAGUAUAACUAGGGAAUGACCCCUAGGUCGUCUCUCAAGGACCACUGCGGUUCAGAGUCAAGUCCAACACUAAGGGAGGGGGGGUUUGAAAAGAUUUUGCGAAAAUUAAAAUAAACUCAAUAAAGACACAUAUGCAAACAAACUAAUUUAAGCUAGCAUAGUAAUUAAACUAACAACAAUAAAAAUCUUAAACAACAUUCAAACAAAAUAAAAUAAAAUACUAGACACCAACACUAUUAGACACAACUAUCUAACAAAGUUAAAUUAAUUUAAAUGCAAAACUAAAUUAAAGAAAUUAAGAACAACUAAACCUAUUAUGUAGACUAAUUUAAAACAAAGAAGUAAACAAUCAUUGAGUUNCUUUUACCAAGCACAUGGCUCAUGCUCNUCCAAACAAAUUAAAUUUGCAAAUGCCCUAAAUUUUUCCCUCAUUGCCGUGACUUCCCAAGGGAGCAAAAUCAAAUUCUCCUCUCCACCAAACCAUUCACGUGCAGCCCCCACACCUCCAAGACAACAUUGUCACGGUUACCAAGCACCAAAAGAAGCACAAAAGUUAAAACCUCCUUUCUUCCAUAGCCAAGUCAACUACACUUCCCAAGAGCAAUGAAAAUGAAUAUUUGAUUCUAAUUUGUUCCCCCUUUUACCGAGACUUGGGCUGCACCAAACACCAAUUCAAUUUCUUCUUUGCAUAAACAAUUGAUUAUGUUCCCCUCUUGUCCCAUGUGCCUCAUCUUUCAAGAAAAGCCAUGUGCCAACUAUGCUAUCAUGAAAACCGUGCUCCCUCUCUCCUCCAAGUCAAAGCUACACAACUUUCAAUGUUUGACACAAAAUGAAGUGUUCCAUAACUCAAUAACCAGCCACCAUCUUCCACAUCUUGGUCACGUGAAUCACAAAGCAAGGAGUGAAAUUACUAACACAAAAAGUGGAAUUACUUCUACCAAAGUGCCACAUGGGAAUGGUCAAAUGGAAUAAAACUCAAAGCAAGACAUUCUCUUUGUCCCAACCACAACACGGUUCUUAUAAAGCAAAGCAAAGAACCAAAUCCCUUCUCUCAAACACAUUACCGCACAAACACAAUGGGAGGAACAAAAUUACACCACUUCAACUAAGCUUAGCCAAGACAUUGCUACCUUUUUCUCCUCCAUUAACCAAUCUUUCUAAGAGCAAAAAUAAAGGAUAACUAGGGUUGCAAAUGCUGCCACCGUCCA
rnacentral:lncRNA from 1 species